rnacentral:misc_RNA from 1 species
UCUCCGUUGGCGAACCAGCGGAGGGAUCAUUACCGAGUUUACAACUCCCAAACCCCUGUGAACAUACCAUUUGUUGCCUCGGCGGUGCCUGCUUCGGCAGCCCGCCAGAGGACCCAAACCCUUGAUUUUAUACAGUAUCUUCUGAGUAAAUGAUCAAAUAAAUCAAAACUUUCAACAACGGAUCUCUUGGUUCUG